CUGACGCUCCCCCGCUCAUGCUCUGUCUCUGUCUCUCUGUCAAAAAUAAAUAAAACGUUAAAAAAAAAAUUUAAACGCAGCUUCUGCACAGCGCCCUGAGUACUCACUGGGCCCUUAGCACCACCAUUUAUGGGUACGGUUUGCCAGGUGCUGGUGGCCACAGGCAACAUGACCUGAGCAGGGUCUUAUGAGAGUGUGUGUGUGAGUGUGACAAUUCGUGUGAAUGUGUAUGAUGUGUGCGUGUGCACGUAUGAGCUUGUGAGUCUGCAUGGAUGUUAGUCUGUGGGAGUGUGCAUGAGUGACUGUUUUAAUGUGAUCUAUGUGAAUGUGAGUGUGCACAUGUGAAUGUGCAAAUGGGUAUUUGUUGAAGGUGUGUGUGACAUGGGCCUGUAUGUGUGCACUUUGUCCCUUAGGGUGUCUGGAGGCAGAUCCUGCACUCUCUUCCCAGCGCGGGUGGUGCUGUGCCCACGGUCACCUUUGCUGUAACACAGCAGCCAGGCUGGACCCCCUGAGUGAUUUUGCUCGGAAGCCUGGACAGCCUGGCUCAAGCCCGUCCUUGCCCCCUGGGAUGCUGGGAGGAUCGUUUUCACUCCUCAAUCCUGUGUUUUCAUCGCAAUGUCAAUCCUGUGUUUUCAGUAAAACAGGUUGCCAGUGUCAUGCAUCCUGACUUCAAGGCUUUGUCACCCAAGAUGAGGCACCCCGCCCUUGCUCACUGGAGCGUGAAGUCAGAGAGCCCUGAGGUCACCAUGCUAUGAGGAAGCUCAUUUGAGCCCCCGGCCUCCAGUCCUGGUCACCUCCAGUCCUGGCCACAACUGUGGGAGAGACCCUGACUCAGAAUCACUGAGUCUUUCCUGAAUUCCUGACCCAUGGAG